rnacentral:misc_RNA from 1 species
UAAAUGCGAUACGUAAUGUGAUACGCAAGUUGUCGUGAAUCAUUGAAAUCUUGAACGCAAAUUGCGCUUUUAAGUGAAAGCUUGAAAGCAUACUUUUAUGAGGGUGGAAUAUUAAAUAAAUUAUUUUGCGAUAGCAAAGUAAUUUAUGAUAAGAUAUGGGGGUGAACGUUGAACGAUGUUCUCCCCUUAAAAGAAAACAUUUUAUAAUGGUCAUGUGACGAAUUAUAUUAUAUAUUAAUUCUGGUCACCUGAUCAUGAUUACAUGCCCCCCUAUUUACCCACCUCAUAAAAGUAUGAUAUACCCGCUGAACUUAA